UGUGGGAGCGAGCUUGCUCGUGAUAGCGCUGUAUCAGGUCACACCAGUACUGCUGACCCACUGCUAUCGCGAGCAAGCUCGCUCCCACA
rnacentral:misc_RNA from 1 species